AAAGAAGUCUUAAAGAUUAUUUACAAAAACAAAUACAAAUAUUAUUGAUUUUUGUAUUAAGAGACUUGUUUUUUUGCUCGAAAAAUCAUAGUUUACAAGAUUUACAGGGUUAACUCUCCUAAUCCGCAGUGCUUAUUUAGUUUAUCCGAAUCAGAAUUCCGUUUCCAUCCUUGUCCCUAAUAUUAGAAUAGGAAUUCGUUGCGUUCUUCGUUCCUUACAAAAAUACUAUCGAAAUCUGACCGCUCUACGGGAUAAAAGAGUUAACCGUGUAAACCGUAUGAGGAGGGAAGUAGAUCGCGCGAAAUCCCCUUAACCGAAAUCGAAAUCAGACGGGACCUGCUCCGGAUGAAUGAUAGGUAUUUAAAAUAAUUAUCUCGUUAUUUUUGUAUUCGUUUUUUUCGCGUUGGAAACGCGCCACGGCAGCAAGAACCGAACGAAAGUCCGUUGUCACUUGUAAAGGGAAAUAUAAUUCCGUACGUUUUUAUAUACGUUUGCUAUACG